rnacentral:rRNA from 1 species
CCUACGGGUGGCUGCAGUGGGGAAUAUUGCACAAUGGGCGCAAGCCUGAUGCAGCCAUGCCGCGUGUGUGAAGAAGGCCUUCGGGUUGUAAAGCACUUUCAGCGGGGAGGAAGGCGGUGAGGUUAAUAACCUCAUCGAUUGACGUUACCCGCAGAAGAAGCACCGGCUAACUCCGUGCCAGCAGCCGCGGUAAUACGGAGGGUGCAAGCGUUAAUCGGAAUUACUGGGCGUAAAGCGCACGCAGGCGGUCUGUCAGGUCGGAUGUGAAAUCCCCGGGCUCAACCUGGGAACCGCAUUCGAAACUGGCAGGCUAGAGUCUUGUAGAGGGGGGUAGAAUUCCAGGUGUAGCGGUGAAAUGCGUAGAGAUCUGGAGGAAUACCGGUGGCGAAGGCGGCCCCCUGGACAAAGACUGACGCUCAGGUGCGAAAGCGUGGGGAGCAAACAGGAUUAGAUACCCGGGUAGUC